CUGGGUUGAUGUCUCAGCAGGAUUGACGUCAUCUCCACAGACAGUACAGAGCUUCCUGGUUUCCUUCUCCCGCUGAUACAGCUUGUGAUCCCACGCCCCACGUGUUGGAGGGCCCUCCACAUGCCGGAUCGCAUGUCCCCUGUGUGAUUCUCAGCCUAAGGAGAGUACCGUCUGCUUCAUAUGCAGAUCUUCCACAGGAUGCAGUAGAGAA